ensembl:lncRNA
UUUUAUCAGCUGUUAGGACUCAUUCUGACGGCACCCAUUAAUUGCUGUGGAUCCAUUGGUAAGCAAGUGAUGCAAUGCUACAUUCUCCAAAUCUGUUCCGAUUACGAAACUCACCUACAUGGUCUGAGGGUGAGUGCAUUCUUAGCAAACUUUCAUUUUUGGAUGAACUAUUCCUUAAAGAUUUGAGAAACCCAUUAGUGAGCAAUUCAUCAUAUAAACAAAAAGUUCUUCUCUGAUUCUUAUGCUCUAGUUAAAGUUUUAAUAUUAAAUCUGUUUCGCAUGUUGUUUUGAUCAUGCUGCUUGCAUAUUAUUUCAUAUCUGUCCCGUGAGAGAACUAGUGAGACCACCUUCUUCGCGCGCAUUUUAAAAGCGUGCACCCAUGUGCGCUCUCGUGCACUCGUGUACAUGUCAGCUAUGGCUCUGUUCUUUUUCUUGUAACUUCAUUUACUGAUACUCUCAUCACUCAUGAAUAUUUCUGAGAGCAGAGCGGGUCUCGGCACCGUGGUGCCUCUUACUAGUUUAGAGAACGUGCUUUUGUUUCUCUUCAAUGUAAUUCUCGCCACCGCCAUUAUUUUUAUUAACGUCUCUGUGUUUGUUUCCAUCAUGAUGAACAGAUCUCUGCGAAACGAGAACCGCUUCAUGUACAUGCUCAGCACGUGUCUCAGUGACAUCUGCACGGGCGUCUCUUAUUAUUAUGCUGGAGUUAUGGAUGUACGCGAUUCUUAUGACUCCCCGACUCGCACUUUCUACAUCGUUCCCACUUUUCUGGGUCUGUCCUAUAUGGCGAUUCUGGCCGCGCAAGCGGACCGCUACCACGCGGUCUCAGCGCCUUUUAAAUACUCGCAGCGCAUGACGCGAAACAGAACCCUGCUGGUGAUUCUGGCCUACUGGGUUUAUGCUUUUCUGAUAGUUGCUGUUAAUAAUUUGGUUACUUUGGGGGUUGCUAAAAGAGUUACGGGCUUUGGCACUUUUGUGGCGAACAUUUUCACCGUCAUUAUCAUGAUUGGGCUGAACGUCAGGCUCUUCUUUGUCGCUAAAUUUCAGCUAGAACGCGAACCACCGAGUUCUGUUUCGAGUCAUGCGCUGCGAGUAUUUGAAAGGCGCUGA